AUGAGGAAGAUGAUGAAACCAGAAAAUCUUAGGACACCUUCUGACGCAGUGAAAGAUUGCUGUGUAUGAGAAAGAUUUCAGUUUCUGAUGCUUAU